rnacentral:rRNA from 1 species
ACUUUGAGAGAGAGUAAACAGUACGUGAAACCGCAUGCAGGUAAACGGGUGGCGUCAAGCUGCACGCCCGGAGAAUUCAGCUGGCUAGGGUGUUGUGUAUGCGCCUGGCGCAUCAAUCAGUCAGAGUAAGAUUCGGUAGUCCGCCCGGUAAGGGUGGGCCCGGCCGCAAGGUUGGGAUUUGUGUACCGGGUGUUAGCCGGAGCAAGCUACUUAUCUAUGGGACUGUCUAGCCAGUGCACUUUCUCCGUGGUGAACACCACGACCGGUGGUAUUGCCAGUCUGCUGUAGUCAAGUCGUGUUCAGUAGGUUCUCGUAAUCAACUGGAUGCGAUCACAGGCAAACUCAGUAAACGGCGUAGGGGUGUUUCGGCACCUUUGCGUGUUAUCGGCUACUGGUUGUCAACGGAUCGGCCCUUUGAUUGUUGUAAUCGUCACUGGGUGGUCUGGUGGACUAUGGUGGUAUGAAUAACUGUGCAAGGCAUCGGAGUUCUCGGCCUCAAAUGCAUUCUAUGCCCACAUUAUGAGUGGCGUGGGUGCCAUUACAGCCUGCCUGUUGUUGAGUCUGAUUGUCGUGUCGCCUGCGAAAAGUGGGCCCGGCAGUGGCUUGAUAUGGGAUGGGUUGUGGAUGGUAUCUCCUGUGUAGUUUGCGGUGGGCCUUACAGUCUGUGGUGUAGUGGUAGACGAGCUACCCGACCCGUCUUGAAACACGGAC